CGGAGAAGUGGAUUUUCAUUCCUGCGGGCUGCAGCGUGACCCUGGUGAAGUCAGGGAGCAUGCGCGCGAGCGGGCAGGCGCCAGGCCACUUCGCCAUUUCCAUCCUCUCUGGAGUCUUGCUCUGAAAUCCAGACUGCCACUGAGUGCAGCAGCUCGAUCGUGGAUCACUGCAGCCUUGACCUCCCAGGCUCAAGCCAUCCUCCUGUCUCAGCCUCUGGAGUAGCUGGGACUACAGGGUUACCACUGAAGAUGGCUGUCGUUCAGAGGCUGCCUGCCUCCCGAUGACCACAUACCAUGCACAGCCUUCUCUAUACCAGGUGCUCCCAAGAGGCUAAGAUUUUAGAGCUUGAGCUCUGCUCAGAUGUUUACUUCUCAGUGAUGAUGAGGCGGGGGACACAGCAGAGAGUUGCUCUAACCCUCCCGGACCAUAGAAUGUGACUGUAUUGGAGAUGGGAACUUCGAAAAGUUGAUUAAGGCAGAAUAAGGCGUUAGACUGGGCCCUAAUCUAAUCUGACUGGUAUCCUUAUAAGAAGAGGACAUUGAGAUUCACGAAGACACCAAGAUUUGCACGUAGAGGAAAGACCCUGUGGGAACACACCAAGAAGGCAGCCAUCUGCAACCCAAAGAGCGAGGCCCCAGGAAAAGGUCCCUGCCGCCAUCUUGAUCCAGGACUUCCGCCAUCUUUACUCAGGACUGCUACUCUCCCAAGCAGUGAGAUAAGUCCAUUUCUGUUGUUUAAGCCACUCAUCCUGUGGCAUUUUGUUAUGGCAGCUCCAGUAAGUGAAUACAGGGUUGUAUCUAGUUUGUAAUGUUAUGAACAAUGCUGCUAAAAACAUUUUAGUUUCUCUCCACAUGUACCUCAUACUUUCUUCUCCAUAUGCAAGUGUGAUACUGCUGGGUUGUCGAGUAUACAUAUUUUUCUUUACUAAGAUAGUGCCUGAAAGUUUUUCCACAGAAGUGUAAAAUUUUAACAUAACUCUACAAUCUUGCGAAUGAAUACUUAAUAUUGUCAGACUGAAUUGUUGCUGUUCUUGCUUUUUCUAAAUUGAAUUUUCUUUUUCUUCCUUACCUUGUUCAUGGGUUCAGAAGUUAUCUACCGUAUUUCUUUUAUUUUAGUGGUUAC